UGGACGGCUCCUUGAGGGGGGACCAGCGUGGCCUCGCAGGAAGCUUCUUUGUGCAUCUUCCUCAGACACACAGAUGCAACUGAGUGGCUCAGGGCUUGAGGUCCCAUCCAGCCACCAGUCCCUGCCCUGAGCACACGUGGUGGGGAGAUGCCAACUCCAGUUUCCAGCCAGCUUUUCUCCCAGAGAAGCUCAUCUACCAGUGCCGUGCCACGCUUCAGACUGUUCCUCUUCCAACCUCCUCUGAUGUUCAUUUCUUCAAUCCUGGGCUCCUUCCUCACCACCCAGCUCUGAAAAGGUGAGAACACUUUGUGAAGCAUGCCUGAUACCAGCUUUGCCCACAACAUUAAUUGCUACCUAAAGCAGUUACAAACCCUCCAUUUGAUAU
rnacentral:lncRNA from 1 species